rnacentral:lncRNA from 1 species
GAGUGGUCCUGCGUUAAUCAGAGGGAACAACGUUGGCAUGACCAAAAUGGAACCCAUUUCUUCACUGAUCGGGCAUGGAUGGUACUCUUUUUUUUUUUUUUUUUUUUUCAUCAAAUCUUGCCACGGCCAUAGUUGGCACUUCAGAGGAACCCCUGGGUUGACGCUGUGAGUCAGCGCUGAGCUGACCAGAUCUGAAGCCACCUGGGAGGCUCUGGAUCCUAAUCAUUGGCCUGCUUGGCCUGCUUCUCGGAGCCUGAAAAUGAGAGCACCCCGAGCCCGUCUCACCCCUUGCUCAAGCCACGUCUCCUGGUAUUUUCUUCUCUGUUCCCUUUCAUUUCAAGUUGCUAGCUGUAAUC